rnacentral:rRNA from 1 species
UGGGGAAUAUUGGACAAUGGGCGAAAGCCUGAUCCAGCCAUGCCGCGUGUGUGAAGAAGGUCUUCGGAUUGUAAAGCACUUUAAGUUGGGAGGAAGGGCAUUAACCUAAUACGUUAGUGUUUUGACGUUACCGACAGAAUAAGCACCGGCUAACUCUGUGCCAGCAGCCGCGGUAAUACAGAGGGUGCAAGCGUUAAUCGGAAUUACUGGGCGUAAAGCGCGCGUAGGUGGUUUGUUAACUUGGAUGUGAAAUCCCCGGGCUCAACCUGGGAACUGCAUUCAAAACUGACUGACUAGAGUAUGGUAGAGGGUGGUGGAAUUUCCUGUGUAGCGGUGAAAUGCGUAGAUAUAGGAAGGAACACCAGUGGCGAAGGCGACCACCUGGACUAAUACUGACACUGAGGUGCGAAAGCGUGGGGAGCAAACA